rnacentral:misc_RNA from 1 species
CUAAUUUCUAACAAAUAAUUUUUUAAUAAACCAUAAAACCCACAAGUCGUGCGCACCAGCGGACUCCACCGCGUUCCUUCUAUAAGCCCUCUACUCAACUGCCAAUCAACUUUCUUUAUCAUUGCUUUAGAUCUUUAUCAAAGCGUUUUACUGCGUUUCUCUUCUAUCUUCAUAGCCGUUAGCUAAGUCCUGCUAUUCCUUUCUCUUCUCUGUACAUCUUCGCUCUUUCCCUUCUCGUUCCGUGCUCAAUUGUUCCCCUCUGCCCCCAACCACAAAAUCUUUGUUUUAUUGAAUACGUAGCUGAUCCUGAUACAGAUCUAGGGUUUCCGAUCUCUGCGUUGGGUCGAUUAUUCCUUGUAGAUCUUAGCUUUAGUCCUCUUCGAUUUGGCGAUCAGUGAUUAGGUUUUCGUAAAAAAAUUACCAAUGAUUUUAGAUUUUCUAUGAAUUACGCAAUGUUCAUGCGUCGAGUUCGCAUUCUCCACUCCUUUUCGGUUGUGUUUCUCUACUGGUUUUACGUGUUUUCAGAAUUAAUUUCUUUGUGUUAAACCUGUUGUAAAUUUUGAUCCCUAUUUCCCCUUUUAACUAACUAUCAAAAAGCCCUAAUUCUAACUCAAUUUGAUAGAUAAUAUCCAACAUCUAGUAGAUUAAUUUUUCUGUUUGAAAUUUCGGGAGACAAAAAAAGUUCUGCAAUGCAAAGGCAGGCAGCGAACUCUGGAUCUGAUUCUGAUCCACGUUAUGCCAGUAUCGAUGAAAGGAAAAGAAAGAGGAUGAUAUCAAACAGGGAAUCAGCCAGACGUUCCAGGAUGAGGAAGCAGAAACAGAUGGGGGAUCUGGUUAAUGAAGCGAGUCUUUUGCAAAAUGAGAAUGAUCGAUUGAGGCAGAACAUCAACGACAACACUCAACGGUAUGUGGAAAUAGAAUCCGCCAACAGCGUUUUGAGGGCUCAGGCUAUGGAACUGACCGAGAGGCUUCUGUCCUUGAACUCGGUGCUCCAGAUCGCGGAGGAGGUUAGCGGCCUCGCAGUGGAGAUCCCAGAGAUACCUGACCCCCUGCUGAAACCAUGGCAACUCCCUUUCCCCGUACAGCCGAUCAUGGCAUCUGCAGAUAUGUUUCAGUAUUGAUAUUGCAUCUGUUUAGUGAGUUACUGGUAGCUGAGACUUAUUACCUAUCUGGGUGUUCCUUUUUUGUUAUGGGUUGGUUUGGUGUGCUGUGGUUUGGUGUGUGAGGCGAAUGUUAGUCUUUUGUGUCUUUGGGAAUGCAGUUGUAAUGUGAUUUGCUUGCUUGUUAACUUCUAUUUCUAUCAAUGUUUGUAGUGGUUUAUGAUGCACUGGUUGUUGCCAAUAGCUUAGAUUUCCGUAACGAGUUUCUUUUUGAUAUGGAUAUGGCUAACGUGAAUGAAUUGUGUAUUUUUAUUCGAAAAUAUCAUGCGAUUCGCUAAAUUUAUGAAUUGCAAGAAAGUAUAUAGUAGUUUAAAGUUGGAUGGAUAUGCUCUCUUGUAUUUGAUAGAUAGAGUGACGCAUGAUCCUCACAGCUGUUGGGAGAUGAGUGUGGAAUUUUGAAGUCGCUUUGAUUAUCAUCCUGUUAGUUAUGUUGGUUGCUUUGUGUACAUAAAUGGUGUUAGUUUUGAAUUAUGUUAUUCAGUGGCCUUGUACAUUGUCAUAUGUUCUCAUAACCGGAAAUUGUUCAAUUUGCGAUUGCGUUUUAUUCUGUAAUUGUAAGUCCAUUAAUAAUUUGUGCUGAAGAAUGGCAUAUUUUAGAGUUUUGUUUUGCUUAUGGCAGAUACAUGGAUUAAAAGCAAUAUAAUGGAUAAGGUUCAAGUGUUUCUUUCAGGUUGGACACAACUAUGUAGCCCCUUAGAAAGUUGUUGGACUAGAGAAAUUUCACAGUGGGUAAGGAUUUGUUAGGGGAUGAUAAUUGGUAUAUGUUAUCCUUUCCUACCGAACAGGUAAUUGCAAUCUUCUGUGACUUUUAAACCGGUGUUACAUAGAAUACUCUUCUGUGAUUUGGAAACUGAAGGUUCCUGUAAGUUGACUUAUCUGAUAGCGACUGAAACUCAAAUCGUGGGGCAAACUUUUGAAUUGAGAAGGUCGAUAUUGUGUUAUGGUAAUGAUUGUUGACUAGCGGCAGAGAUAAAGAUGAAGAGGUUGCGUAGAGAACCUUGACUCUUGCUGUGGUUCAUCUAGAAUGUCUUGGCCGCCCAUCAAGGUAUUCUUAUGUGAAAAAUUACUGCCUUUCUGUUGUACUUGCUAUCAGUGGUUGAGGGUUGGAUAGACCGUAAACGGUAAAAAUUGCGAGCAGCGGGGCCAUAGGAUUUAUUGAUUUUUAUUUUUU